rnacentral:rRNA from 1 species
GAUGAACGCUGGCGGCGUGCCUAAUACAUGCAAGUCGAGCGAACAGACGAGGAGCUUGCUCCUCUGACGUUAGCGGCGGACGGGUGAGUAACACGUGGAUAACCUACCUAUAAGACUGGGAUAACUUCGGAAAACCGGAGCUAAUACCGGAUAAUAUAUUGAACCGCAUGGUUCAAUAGUGAAAGACGGUUUUGCUGUCACUUAUAGAUGGAUCCGCGCCGCAUUAGCUAGUUGGUAAGGUAACGGCUUACCAAGGCAACGAUGCGUAGCCGACCUGAGAGGGUGAUCGGCCACACUGGAACUGAGACACGGUCCAGACUCCUACGGGAGGCAGCAGUAGGGAAUCUUCCGCAAUGGGCGAAAGCCUGACGGAGCAACGCCGCGUGAGUGAUGAAGGUCUUCGGAUCGUAAAACUCUGUUAUUAGGGAAGAACAAAUAUGUAAGUAACUAUGCACGUCUUGACGGUACCUAAUCAGAAAGCCACGGCUAACUACGUG